GUUCAUCAAGGAGCCCUUCUCUUCUCGUGGAGAAGCCUAGGGUUCGUUCUUGAUGGGCGCGGAAGUGCUCGUCGCCGUCGCGCUUUCCAUGGUGGAUCGAUUGAGCGCCUAGAUCGGUACGUGAAGUUAGCUCUUGAUUUGAUCGUCUAUUGAUGCAUCUGAUCUUAUAUGCACACACUACCAAAUAAUUUCUGGAAUAUAACCUAAACUUGGAUCGUCAGAUCUAUCCGAACUCUUUCUUUUUCCUCUGAAACUUCCGAGACAGAACUCAACUCAGUUCGUAUUGCCGCAAUCUCGGUUGGUAUUUUAUCUGCAUUAUAUAUCAACGGGAGUCACUCGAACAGGUCAUUCGAGGUUUCGUGUUUGUUCAAAACAAGAUUUAGCAUAUAUAUAUAUAUAUAUAUAUAUAUAUAUAUAUAUAUAUAUAUAUAUAUAUAUAUAUAUNNNNNNNNNNNNNNNNNNNNUAUAUAUACUAUAUAUAUAUAUAUAUAUAUAUAUAUAUAUAUAUAUAUAUAUAUAUAUAUAUAUAUAUAUAUAUAUAUAUAUAUAUAUAUAUAUAUAUAUAUAUAUAUAUAUAUAUAUAUAUAUAUAUGUAUGUAAUGUUGGGAUACAGGUGCUCGUAUGGGAUCUAUGUAUAUGACACCAAGGUUUCACCUGGAAUUGUUGGUCAGAUCUUUUACUUAUUUGUGAUGUCCUAUGAGCAUUAGAUCGAACUCAACAUCCGAACUAGUUGAAAAUCGUCAGAGUGUCUGAUGGUCUUCAUUUUUUUUCUUUUACUUGAAUGAAUAAUCAUUGCCGCUAAUUGUAUCUUGUUGGAGGAAGAAAGAUCAGAAUUGCUUUUUUAACCAAAGCAUCUGAGUGUGCCAUGUCAUCUAUACUGCUGAAGCAUGAUUGUGUUGAUUUCUUAUGUCCUGCAUUAGAACUUGACCAUGUUAGGCAUUGAUUUCAACAGUGUCUAAGUGCAUGAACUUUAACUCUUGGAGCUACUGAGCUCAUGCGUGCUGCCAUUCCCACACAACUGCAGGUAUAUUAUAUAUUCAAUUUCUUUAUUCUGUUAAAGCAAGAUCAAGAUUAAGUUUUCAAGGCUGUGGAGCAGUCUUUCUUCUAGUACAUCUCUUUCUGUAGUUUUUCUUGCUCUGUAAAUCGCCUGAUUCUUUUUAUUUCUACAAAGGUCUUCAGCAGAUUAGCAUGUUAGAAUUCGGUAAUAAGGGAUCAUUAUUUGGACCAAGAUUUUCUUCGAGUGACCAGAAUUGCACUUUGGGAGUAGAUACUGAUUGAUUUGACAGAUCUGGAAAAUUAGUUAAUAGGUGCAACAUUCAUUAUUGUGCAUGAUGAGAUAUGCAUAAUUUUACAGUAAUCAGUUAUCCAACAUAAACUCAAUAGAUGAUACUAACUUGUUUAUGAGAUACCUGUCAUACAAAUUCUCAUCCAUUGUGCCAUCUUUAAAUUGACAGCUUUCUGUCUCUCAUUAUCUGCAUCUCCUUUGACAUCGAAACCUUCAAAUGACAUCCUAUUCUUAGUUGGGUGAGAUUCAGCUAUUUAUUUCUUCAUCUUCGUUGCCCUCCAUGCCUUUUAUCCAAUCCUCGGUGCCUUCAUUUUCUAAUCUGGCUCUAAUUAAUGCUUCAAAGUCAAUUCAACUUCAGCUAUUUGUUACAUGCCCCAUUCUAUAUCACCAUUUAAAGUUCACUUCGACCUUUUGGGACAAUGGAAUCCAACUUAAAUCCAUUUUUUAACAAAAAAUAAGAUGUAGGCAAAAAUCUGAGAACCCAAAGAUUCUUCAAAAAUUAUUGGUUGUCAGGUUUUUUCUUCUACAAUUUUGGUCGGCCAUUAAAUUUAAUCUGUUUGGCAUGAUCAUCUGGACUGGUGCAGCUGCAGUCUAGUUUUUAAGAUUCUUGAAGGAUUACUUGAAUCAGUUUUCUAAUCUCUUCAUAUCAGUUAAAGUUGGCAAGAAAAGAAGUACUCAGUAUUGAAUUAUAUACUUUUGUAUGUUUGCUUCUAUGUUGACCGGUGGAGUGAUGACUUCUGUCAAAAUGCACAGAACACCUCCAUGAAUGAUCUGUUCAUGGCCAUAAAGAAUCUGUUCCAGAAGUUUUUCUUGGCAUGCCUUUCAUGUUUCCUUCAUUCAUUCCCAAUUCUCUAAGAUUUAGUUCUUAAAUCAAGAGACUAUUUACCAACUAAUAAGUGGUCUAGCCAGUGCUUUUUUGAGCACCUCCAUUCAGGAUUUUAUGCUGGUGUCUAGAUAUAUCAUUCACAUGUUCAGAAGAGUAACUAAAAGAAAAAAAAAAUUAAGAAGAAUAGCAAAUACCAGACUUUAAUACCUUCAAUUAUCAGUUAUUAUUUUCAUCCUACAUCCUAACUUUCUCACACUUAUGUUAAUAUGAGUAGUAUUUCUGCCACUUUCAGCUGUGUUACAACCUGUAUUUAUAUUAGAUCGAACCAUUACUGGCAUCAUUUUUCAAUUUGCUUUGCUUAUGGCAGAGCAAGGAACUUGAUCACUCUAUUGCAAUGUUAAAUAAUAUGAUCUAGACAUUUCUUUCAUCCGGCUUUGGCUUUUAGCUUUAUUCUAACUUGCAUAUUGGUGUGUUACCAGUUUGUAUAUCUUAAACAUGAGCCUUUAUAAGGGAAUGAGCUUAUAGUUGUGGUCCUGGUUGACUUUAUCUAGUCAUCAUCUAAAAUGCCUUACAUUGCAAAAUUCCAGACAGGUUCUUUUCUUGCUGCCAUUCUUAAUUAUUGUGUACAGGUGUCAUUCUUAUAUGAAUUAUCUUUUACUUUUAUUCUUCCUACAAAUUUAAGGAGAAUCAAAUUUCAUGUUGUUGGUCUUUUAAUCAUCUUAUUUACAAAUUGUGCUACAAUUCUUUUGCUAUUGCUGGUGGACUUGUUUCAGUCUGCAUCAUAUCAGCCGCCAUUAUCCGAGUAGCUUGAUUAAAUCCUUAGGCACUAAUCUGGACUGUGCAAGAGACAUGACAUGCAUAACUUCAUUCACAUAAUUAGCCUUUACUUCUAUUUAGAACAUAUGUCUGGUGGUUUCCCCAUGCAUUCAUAUUAGAGAUGAUUGAUUGAUUUUAUGAAGAAUGUUCACUUAUUUAAUUAUCUGAUAAGCAUUCAAUGAAUUUUUCCAUUGAUGUUUUUUUGUAUUCUUGUGAGGCAUUAUAAGAGAUAAUAAACAUUAAGAAUAUCCAGCUUUAGAUUUUUUAUACUCAGUUCUUAUGAUAAUCAAACAAUGAUCACAAUAUGACUAAUCUCCUACUCUUGGUUUCUCAUAUUAUCCUUUUAACUUAUUUUUGACUAAUCUAACUCUCAUUUUCCUCAUGAUUAGGGUUGGAAACAGAUCAAAUAUAAAUUAUAUACUUGGAAAACCUUAUUUAUACCUGCUAUUAAUCAUUGGAUGCAAAUAUGAAUAUAAAUAGUGGACAGAUUCUGAAUUUUUUAAUUGCAUUUGUGCUACAUAGAUAUGGUUACAUUUCUGAUAUAUAUAUAUAUAUAUAUAUAUAUAGUGAGCCAUAUAUGUUAGCGAUAAAUAGUUAAGCCAUUGAUUUGGACCCACUAAUGAUAUUUCUUAUAGAAAGUCCAGAAAGCAAAUGUCAGAAUAGUAAGGGAGAAUGGAAAAAGGAGCAAAAAUGUACCUUGAAAACCAUCACAGUUAUCACAUAUAUUUUAGUUCGAUGGCUACAUAUAUUGAGGCCUGUAUAUGAAUAUUGACUCACAGUCUCAUCCAUGUCUAAGAUAAUUAAAUUAACAAAAUUUUGAUAUAGAUGCAGAUAUGUGAUCGAUUUAUAAUGAUAGCUAGGCUAGGCCUUGAGCUACAACAUAACAAACUCUAACGGAUGAUCCAUCCGACCCACUUUCACACUUUAGUAAUAGAAUAUCAUCUUUUUUGCUUAACUCUUACAAUACUGUUACUGAAAAAAAACACUCUCUACUAUUUACAUACAUCCAGAUUUCCAUGCAUUACUAUGGUUGUAUAGUUUUGUUCACUUUCCACCUUCUACAACUUUGGUCUUUGGUAUUCUUUUAGUAUAUGGAUUGAUCUCAUUAUACACAACUAUGCCUAGUAAUCUUCCAUAGGAAUAAGCAGGAUAGGAAUUUCUUUUAAUAUCCAAUAUCAAGAUAUAUUUGCAUGCAGAUGUGCUUGUGUGCAUAUGUAUAUUUCUCGUUUUCCUUCCAUUUAUUUGUAUUACUACACAUAGGUGGGACACACACGAGGCGCUUUAUUGGGUAUUAAACCCUUGACUCGUGGAAAAAUUCUCCUUGAUACAAACUUCUUGAAUGGUGAUUCAAGUCAAUAUCAUGUUGAAAUACUUUUUUUUAUGUUUAGUAAUACAUCAAUUUUUGGUUCAACUUCUUAAUUAAUUCUUUUUCUGAAUCCUUCAUUUUUUAGUUUUAACAGAAUCGAUUUUCAUAUAAUACUUUAGCAAAAUCAUUUGAUUCUUUCUGAACACUAUUAGUUAGAUUUGUUGGAGAAGCUUAACAUGAAUGAGUGGCUGAUAAUGAGGAUGUCCUCUCAUGGUGCUACCAUGGAUCAGAAGAGAUGAUUUCAAGAAUUUUCAGCAAUUGAAACUACCUGAAAAAGCAGAGAAUCUGGAGGUAGUUUUGUUAUGGCAAUGGUUUAUAGAUCAGUUACUUGAUAUGCUGAGUGAGUGAGUUUUAAAUCAAGGAUAUCAAUGAAAUCAAGGAUAUCAAAAUGUAAGCAGAGGGAUACAUAGAAUAUGUGGAAAGCUUCAACUAUUGAAAUUUCAUGAACCGGGGGGAGAGGAUUUAAAACUAGUUGUGAAAAAAGAUGACAAGAUACAAGAGGAGAAAUACAUUGUCUUAUUGAAAUAAUGAUAUCUAACUCUAAGUUGGACUGACAUUCCAACUCGGAAAGUUUUACUGCAUUUUGCAUUUAUUUUCUAAAAACACAUAAAACUCAUCAAAGUGACCUGAAGAGAAGGAAAAGUAAUAGUUUUAUCAUGAAACUUGUGGGUACUUAGCCAUGAACUGAAUGGGAAGAUUUUAUUGUUGGUGCCUUUAGCCCUAGCUUGAUGCUCUGUUGCUGAAGCAACUACUAGGAGCUCUUAUCACUAAACAGCCGUCGUUGCUUAAAGGGUUGACAAGUAUAUUUAUAUUUUUAAGGCCCUUAGAGGAUAAGAAAUUCAAGUAGGAAGAAAACUCUCAUAUAAAAGAAAGAAACCAGGAAUUUAUGGAUUGAUUUUUAUAUAAAAGAAAACUCUAUGUAUCUUUAGGUUUUGCUAGAAGACAUGUAGGUAAAACACUUUAAUAAGGUUUCUCUCCAGGAGAUUUAGAAAGGGUGAGGGAUUAUGUGAGAGGAGGGGUGCAAUGGGCUUUGAACUUGAUUUCUGAUUAACUCAAGAUAACUUCUAGUUUAUACCCCAUGAUGAAAAAUUGAAGUGUUUCUCUAUGGAUAUAGACAAGUAGCAUCGAAUCAUAUGGAUCUUGUAUUCACUCUUGUUUUAGGUUUAUUUUUUGUCAUUGAUUUUCUUUGGUUACAUCAGAUUUGUUGUUAGUUAGGACAUGAUUAAUUUGUCUCGUUAGAAAAUGAUCAAUUAAUUGACGGUGAAUGAAGUCGGCCAGCACGUCAAGGAUGACAAAUGGUUUCACUUAACUAUCAACCAUCUAUAAAGGUUUCAUGGUCCUCUUCUUAUCACAUUCAGGAAAAAGUCUCAUUCAUCCAAACUGUUAGUCAACAGGAUUAUGGGAGCUUAUUCAAUACUGAGUGUGGGAGUUUCUUCCAGAGAUUGAUUUCUUCCAAUCUUUCGGCCAUGGAUCCUUUACCUUGUUAGGUAACCAAUCUUGAUGUGGUGGGGAUCACAAGUGGCCACAUUUAAAAGCAAAGAAGAGAAUAAAAGCCAUUCACCAGCUAAAGGAGAAACAUCAUUGAUUUUGUCAUAACUCAUUGGGAACCGUGGGGCUCUUACAAAUUUUAUGCCAGCCUAUAUCAUAGACUGACGACUCUUCAAAGCCACAGAAAGCUGCUGCGCAACCCAUUUCACUUGUGCCUGGGGUGGGAGCUGCAACAGUUAGUUAUGGGCACAGAUAAAGAGCUGGCUUUGAAAGGUUUCUAAAGUUAUGGGCAGGGACCAAUUUGUUGCUGGCUUCUAAAUCAAUGCUUGGUAAUUGAAGCAUUCUAGGUGCUUGCUCACGUUGUCUCCAUGCGCUUUAUCUUUCUUGCUGUUUGCUUGCAGAAAGGUAAUGCGAUUCUCCUACUAGUCUAAAUGUUCUUAAAUCAAGUCAUAAAAAUAAUAUAGCCUGUCUUCUUAAUAGUCAAGUCAUAAAACCCGCACCGGAGGAAGUCAGUUAAUCCUUAUUCAUCCGGUGUUUGGCAAUGAUGGAAACAUGGAGGAGGAAGCUAAGAACACGUCGAUGAUAGGGAGAUUAUGCGCAAAACAACUGCAGUGCAGUUUGAUGUAUCCUUACUGGCUCUGAUUGGGACAAGGCUGUGAAUCGUUGUAAUGAGAGACUUUCCAGGGCACGAGUCUCGAUCAGCUGCAGCUGUGCCUUGAAACAGAGUGAGCAAAGAGGAAUAGUGGUAGUCUGGGGAUGUCAUGGAUGGGCCUCCCAGAGUCCUUUGUUCUUUUUGUCCUGGGGUCGCGGUGGUGACCAGUGGGAGGACACAAAGGCAAAGUGAAGGGAUUCUGAUGCUUGUACUCCAAAUUCUGAGGAAGGCUUCAGAGUACGGAGCACACAGUAACUCUUGGCUGCACCUCAUCAAACCCCCUCCCCUCCCUCUCUGCUCCACCUUAAAAGCAGAUAACAACACACACCCACUCUUUUUCUUUCUUUCUGUCCUUCUUUCAACUUUUACCCACCUCUCUACUCUUACUCUUACAUGAAUCAUUUCCACCGCAAAUCUUUCAACUUUGACAGUGAGUGGUCACGUAAAAGCCUUUCUAUGUUCAAAGUCUGUUGUUUGACCGCUGACAAUCUUCACACUUUUGUUGACGAACUUAAUCAUCGUUCGAUAAGUAGCUGAGGCUGAAGCAAGUUUUGGGAAACAGUCUCUCCACUUCAUGAUUGUUUUGGUUGAUCUCUGUAGAGAAUGCAUAAAAGAAAGAAAGUAGUCGUUUGUGUGUAUUUAAUGCGAUCCUUCGGCUGUUACUGGUGUAUAGUUAAUGGGCCAAAAUUGGCCUAUAGUUCUCACAUCAUCUGUCUUCUCACAGAUGAAAGUUCUUCGAGCUCUUACUUCCAAAUUCAUGGUGUGCUUAUAGCAAAUGCAUGCAUAUAUACACUUGAUUGUUUCUGAUCCUACUCUUUGCUUGUCCAUUUAGUAAUUUGAGACAGUUUUUUGCAAUCCAAUACGAUAUGAUAGUUAAUCAUCUAUUAAUUUUGUCGAGCCUUUUUUUUUAGCGUUUCUCUCGUUUCCGAUGCCAAAGCCUAGUUGAAUUUUCAUCUGUUUUCCCACCAUUUGUUCCAUUCGGGCUCCUGUUUCUUUCUGCUUGCCCAUUCAACUUCUUGAAACGUGCUCGCUCUUUUACCAUCUUCUCGGUAGUUUCCUUGGAUACCCGAAGACUACAUUCAAAGAUGUGGAUGUCUUUUACUUUAGUUUUGUUGCUUUUUGUAGAGAUAAGACACAUCAAAAUUUAUUCCCUAUAUUUCUUGGUGGCAUGCAUUAUUCCCUGAUUUGAUCUGAGAGCAGGAGGGUGGCCGUGAACGUCAAUGUUUGUCUUUUCUCGUGGUCCGAAGAACAACGAGAAAAAGGGAAGGAAAGAAGAGUAGAAAUGUUCUUUUUGUCAUAAGCUGCCCCCACACUUUUUUGCCUUGCGUCUUUGGUCACAUGCUCUUCCUUUCUUCUCCCUCAAGCUUCUAAACUGACCUUACCCUCCAGCAAAAGGUACGUACCCAAAUGCGCACAACUUCAAGUCAUAGGUGGAGAACAGCAUCCUUGGCUUCUAAAGAUCGGAAGAAAUUUUCUUUUUCUUUUCUUUUGUUUCCUUUUUCGUUGUCUUCUUUUGAUGGUACGAUGUAUUGGUGGCGGAAUGAUCGGUUUUUCUUUGUGCUACCUGAAUUAGCCUUUGAAAUAUGUUUUUUUUUUUCAAAUAAUUAUUUCAUACAUUGGUCUAACGAAAUCUUCCUUUGAUACUUCAAUCAGAUCUCAAGUCGGAGAAUGCAAGGACUAUAAAUGCAUAAUAUAUCUAUAUAUAGAAGAGAUGAAGGGUAAUUAAAGAGUACAAAUGAAGUCAACAGCGAAUUAGACUGCCUUCAUGUACCUCGUACGAUCAUAUAGAGAUUGUCGAUGUAUUUGCUGGUGAGUCCACUAAGGUGACACUAGCGAGCGAUGUCGGCCAAGUUAUGACUCGUUAAUAUCGUCAUUGAAUUUCUGCAACAUGUUAAUCUGAUCAAAUAGUCCCAUCUGUUGUUCCACAUCAGUCCUCAAAGUUAUCUCCUAAAAAGUGGUCAGUUUUCAUGACUUCAACCAGUGGUAGUUCUUUUAUAAUUCUUCAAUUCAGCUAAUAUCAAUCGCUUGCAAACUAUAAGUUUCUAAUUUUUGAUAUUUC
rnacentral:lncRNA from 1 species